rnacentral:rRNA from 1 species
GAUCAUGGCUCAGGACGAACGCUGGCGGCGCGCCUAACACAUGCAAGUCGAACGGAGAUUACAGGCGGAAGUUUUCGGAUGGAAGCUUGUAAACUUAGUGGCGGACGGGUGAGUAACACGUGAGCAACCUGCCUAUCCGAGGGGGAUAACGAUUGGAAACGAUCGCUAAUACCACAUGACAUAGCGGAAUCGCAUGGUUCUGUUAUCAAAGAUUUUAUCGCUGAUAGAUGGG